UUCUCAAUGACUUUCUAAUUGGGAGUGAUG
rnacentral:piRNA from 1 species